rnacentral:rRNA from 1 species
AAGAGACAGCAGUAGCCGCGGUAAUACGAGGGGGGCAAGCGUUGUUCGGAAUUAUUGGGCGUAAAGGGCGCGUAGGCGGUUUGGCAAGUUUGGUGUGAAAUCUUCGGGCUCAACUCGAAGUCUGCACCGAAAACUGCCGGGCUUGAGUAUGGGAGAGGUGAGUGGAAUUUCCGGUGUAGCGGUGAAAUGCGUAGAUAUCGGAAGGAACACCUGUGGCGAAAGCGGCUCACUGGACCAUUACUGACGCUGAGGCGCGAAAGCUAGGGGAGCAAACAGGAUUAGAUACCCCGGUAGUCCCUGUCUCUUAUAC